rnacentral:rRNA from 1 species
GGUUAAGCGACUAAGCGUACACGGUGGAUGCCCUGGCAGUCAGAGGCGAUGAAGGACGUGCUAAUCUGCGAAAAGCGUCGGUAAGGUGAUAUGAACCGUUAUAACCGGCGAUGUCCGAAUGGGGAAACCCAGUGCAAUUCGUUGCACUAUCGUUAACUGAAUACAUAGGUUAACGAGGCGAACCGGGGAACUGAAACAUCUAAGUACCCCGAGGAAAAGAAAUCAACCGAGAUUCCCCAGUAGCGGCGAGCGAACGGGGAGCAGCCCAGAGUCUGAAUCAGCUUGUGUGUUAGUGGAACGGUCUGGAAAGUCCGACGGUACAGGGUGAUAGUCCCGUACACCAAAAUGCACAGGCUGUGAACUCGAAGAGUAGGGCGGGACACGUGGUAUCCUGUCUGAAUAUGGGGGACCAUCCUCCAAGGCUAAAUACUCCUGACUGACCGAUAGUGAACCAGUACCGUGAGGGAAAGGCGAAAAGAACCCCGGCGAGGGAGUGAAAAAGAACCUGAAACCGUGUACGUACAAGCAGUGGGAGCACCUUCGGGUGUGACUGCGUACCUUUGUAUAAUGGGUCAGCGACUUAUAUUCUGUAGCAAGGUUAACCGUAUAGGGAGCCGCAGGGAAACCGAGUCUUAACUGGGCGUUAAGUUGCAGGGUAUAGACCCGAAACCCGGUGAUCUAGCCAUGGGCAGGUUGAAGGUUGGGUAACACUAACUGGAGGACCGAACCGACUAAUGUUGAAAAAUUAGCGGAUGACUUGUGGCUGGGGGUGAAAGGCCAAUCAAACCGGGAGAUAGCUGGUUCUCCCGAAAGCUAUUUAGGUAGCGCCUCGUGAACUCAUCUUCGGGGUAGAGCACUGUUUCGGCUAGGGGUCAUCCCGACUUACCAACCCGAUGCAAACUACGAAUACCGAAGAAUGUUAUCACGGGAGACACACGGCGGGUGCUAACGUCCGUCGUGAAGAGGGAAACAACCCAGACCGCCAGCUAAGGUCCCAAAGUCAUGGUUAAGUGGGAAACGAUGUGGGAAGGCACAGACAGCCAGGAUGUUGGCUUAGAAGCAGCCAUCAUUUAAAGAAAGCGUAAUAGCUCACUGGUCGAGUCGGCCUGCGCGGAAGAUGUAACGGGGCUAAACCAUGCACCGAAGCUGCGGCAGCGACACUAUGUGUUGUUGGGUAGGGAGCGUUCUGUAAGCCUGCGAAGGUGUGCUGUGAGGCAUGCUGGAGGUAUCAGAAGUGCGAAUGCUGACAUAAGUAACGAUAAAGCGGGUGAAAAGCCCGCUCGCCGGAAGACCAAGGGUUCCUGUCCAACGUUAAUCGGGGCAGGGUGAGUCGACCCCUAAGGCGAGGCCGAAAGGCGUAGUCGAUGGGAAACAGGUUAAUAUUCCUGUACUUGGUGUUACUGCGAAGGGGACGGAGAAGGCUAUGUUAGCCGGGCGACGGUUGUCCCGGUUUAAGCAUGUAGGCUGAUUGUCCAGGCAAAUCCGGAUAAUCAAGGCUGAGGUGUGAUGACGAGGCACUACGGUGCUGAAGUAACAAAUGCCCUGCUUCCAGGAAAAGCCUCUAAGCAUCAGGUAACAUCAAAUCGUACCCCAAACCGACACAGGUGGUCAGGUAGAGAAUACCAAGGCGCUUGAGAGAACUCGGGUGAAGGAACUAGGCAAAAUGGUGCCGUAACUUCGGGAGAAGGCACGCUGGUGUGUAGGUGAAGUCCCUGCGGAUGGAGCUGAGACCAGUCGAAGAUACCAGCUGGCUGCAACUGUUUAUUAAAAACACAGCACUGUGCAAACACGAAAGUGGACGUAUACGGUGUGACGCCUGCCCGGUGCCGGAAGGUUAAUUGAUGGGGUUAUCCGUAAGGAGAAGCUCUUGAUCGAAGCCCCGGUAAACGGCGGCCGUAACUAUAACGGUCCUAAGGUAGCGAAAUUCCUUGUCGGGUAAGUUCCGACCUGCACGAAUGGCGUAAUGAUGGCCAGGCUGUCUCCACCCGAGACUCAGUGAAAUUGAACUCGCUGUGAAGAUGCAGUGUACCCGCGGCAAGACGGAAAGACCCCGUGAACCUUUACUAUAGCUUGACACUGAACAUUGAGCCUUGAUGUGUAGGAUAGGUGGGAGGCUUUGAAGCGUGGACGCCAGUCUGCGUGGAGCCAACCUUGAAAUACCACCCUUUAAUGUUUGAUGUUCUAACGUUGGCCCCUGACCGGGGUUGCGGACAGUGUCUGGUGGGUAGUUUGACUGGGGCGGUCUCCUCCCAAAGCGUAACGGAGGAGCACGAAGGUUAGCUAAUCCUGGUCGGACAUCAGGAGGUUAGUGCAAUGGCAUAAGCUAGCUUGACUGCGAGCGUGACGGCGCGAGCAGGUGCGAAAGCAGGUCAUAGUGAUCCGGUGGUUCUGAAUGGAAGGGCCAUCGCUCAACGGAUAAAAGGUACUCCGGGGAUAACAGGCUGAUACCGCCCAAGAGUUCAUAUCGACGGCGGUGUUUGGCACCUCGAUGUCGGCUCAUCACAUCCUGGGGCUGAAGUAGGUCCCAAGGGUAUGGCUGUUCGCCAUUUAAAGUGGUACGCGAGCUGGGUUUAGAACGUCGUGAGACAGUUCGGUCCCUAUCUGCCGUGGGCGCUGGAGAAUUGAGGGGCUGCUCCUAGUACGAGAGGACCGGAGUGGACGCAUCACUGGUGUUCGGGUUGUCAUGCCAAUGGCACUGCCCGGUAGCUAAAUGCGGAAGAGAUAAGUGCUGAAAGCAUCUAAGCACGAAACUUGCCCCGAGAUGAGUUCUCCCUGAGACUUUAAGUCUCCUGAAGGAACGUUAAAGACGAUGACGUUGAUAGGCCGGGUGUGUAAGCGCAGCGAUGCGUUGAGCUAACCGGUACUAAUGAACCGUGAGGCUUAACCUU